CCUACGGGUGGCAGCAGUGAGGAAUAUUGGUCAAUGGGCGCGAGCCUGAACCAGCCAAGUCGCGUGAAGGAUGAAUGCCCUACGGGUUGUAAACUUCUUUUAUAAAGGAAUAAAGUGAGGCACGUGUGCCUUUUUGCAUGUACUUUAAGAAUAAGGAUAGGCUAACUUCGUGCCAUCAGCCGCGGUAAUACGGAGGAUGCGAGCGUUACCCGGAUUUAUUGGGUUUAAAGGGAGCGGAGGGGGGUUGUUAAGUCAGUUGUGAAAGUUUGCGGCUCAACCGUAGAGUUGCAAUUGAUACUGGCAGUCUUGAGUGCAGGUGAGGUAAGCGGAAUUCGUGGUGUAGCGGUGAAAUGCGUAGAUAUCACGAAGAACUCCGAUUGCGAAGGCAGCUUACUAGACUGCCACUGACGUUGAUGCUCGAAAGUGUGGGUAUCAAACAGGAUUAGAUACCCCAGUAGUC
rnacentral:rRNA from 1 species